CACCCGAUGGGGGGUGGGGACUGGCACUCGGACAUGCACGGGUCAAGGAGGCUGUCGCGCUCGGGGACGCGCGCUGGAGGUGAUGCUGCGGAUGCAGAAGGAGGAGGCGGAGGAUGCUGCGGCGGCCGCUCUGCGGUUUGACUGACGGGCGAACGCGCGCUAAUAAAGGGCUGUCACAGUGACACGUUCACGGACACGUGGAACAGGCAGCCAAACGUGGGACAUGCCACGAGGAAAAAAAACAACAAAUCCCCACAGCUUUGUGUACAUGUUGGAGGAGAUUGCAGGAGGGUAACCUGGUCCCAUCUGGAGCUUAUCAGAGCCUGACCCGGUUUUGGCGUGCUACGUUCGCGCGCCGCUCCUUUGGGACCUGUUCCCUCCUCGUUGCUGACAAAGAGAAGAAGGCCACAGCCGUUCUAUCCCAGCUCAGACCCACAUACCUCGACUCAACCCGAGCCCAACAUCGCCGGAUCCUUCCUCACGCUGCCCGCUCCCAAGAAGUUGCUUACAUUACACUUCCUCCCUCCCUCUCUCAUUGUAGGUCACUUGGUCUACCUUCCUCCAUUUUGGAAAAGGGCUUGCGGGGAUAUUUUGCCCUACAAAAAAAAUAAUUAUCUUAUCUCCCUAAUUCCCAAUUAUUAUGCAC
ensembl:lncRNA